AGGAUAAUACSUGAACGUACUCCCUGGCUGACCGGCAACGGAAGGCUGGGGAGSGUGCAACGUAUCGUAGGGAUAAACCGGGAAUGGGUGCACGCYUGGACCGCGCUAAAGACAGAUCUCGGCGAGCCUUCGGGUGAGCCUYGGCCUGAGCGGCUCUUGCUGUGUGCUUCUGACCUAUCAACUAGACGGCAGCGUAAGGGACAUGCUAUGGUGACAACGGUACA
rnacentral:rRNA from 1 species